UGAACGCUAGCUACAGGCUUAACACAUGCAAGUCGAGGGGCAUCAGGAAGAAAGCUUGCUUUCUUUGCCGGCGACCGGCGCACGGGUGAGUAACACGUAUCCAACCUGCCCUUUACUCGGGGAUAGCCUUUCGAAAGAAAGAUUAAUACCCGAUAGUAUAAUGAUUCCGCAUGGUUUCAUUAUUAAAGGAUUCCGGUAAAGGAUGGGGAUGCGUUCCAUUAGGUUGUUGGUGAGGUAACGGCUCACCAAGCCUUCGAUGGAUAGGGGUUCUGAGAGGAAGGUCCCCCACAUUGGAACUGAGACACGGUCCAAACUCCUACGGGAGGCAGCAGUGAGGAAUAUUGGUCAAUGGGCGCUAGCCUGAACCAGCCAAGUAGCGUGAAGGAUGAAGGCUCUAUGGGUCGUAAACUUCUUUUAUAUAAGAAUAAAGUGCAGUAUGUAUACUGUUUUGUAUGUAUUAUAUGAAUAAGGAUCGGCUAACUCCGUGCCAGCAGCCGCGGUAAUACGGAGGAUCCGAGCGUUAUCCGGAUUUAUUGGGUUUAAAGGGAGCGUAGGUGGACUGGUAAGUCAGUUGUGAAAGUUUGCGGCUCAACCGUAAAAUUGCAGUUGAUACUGUCAGUCUUGAGUACAGUAGAGGUGGGCGGAAUUCGUGGUGUAGCGGUGAAAUGCUUAGAUAUCACGAAGAACUCCGAUUGCGAAGGCAGCUCACUGGACUGCAACUGACACUGAUGCUCGAAAGUGUGGGUAUCAAACAGGAUUAGAUACCCUGGUAGUCCACACAGUAAACGAUGAAUACUCGCUGUUUGCGAUAUACAGUAAGCGGCCAAGCGAAAGCAUUAAGUAUUCCACCUGGGGAGUACGCCGGCAACGGUGAAACUCAAAGGAAUUGACGGGGGCCCGCACAAGCGGAGGAACAUGUGGUUUAAUUCGAUGAUACGCGAGGAACCUUACCCGGGCUUAAAUUGCAGUGGAAUGAUGUGGAAACAUGUCAGUGAGCAAUCACCGCUGUGAAGGUGCUGCAUGGUUGUCGUCAGCUCGUGCCGUGAGGUGUCGGCUUAAGUGCCAUAACGAGCGCAACCCUUAUCUUCAGUUACUAACAGGUCAUGCUGAGGACUCUGGAGAGACUGCCGUCGUAAGAUGUGAGGAAGGUGGGGAUGACGUCAAAUCAGCACGGCCCUUACGUCCGGGGCUACACACGUGUUACAAUGGGGGGUACAGAAGGCAGCUAGCGGGUGACCGUAUGCUAAUCCCAAAAUCCUCUCUCAGUUCGGAUCGAAGUCUGCAACCCGACUUCGUGAAGCUGGAUUCGCUAGUAAUCGCGCAUCAGCCACGGCGCGGUGAAUACGUUCCCGGGCCUUGUACACACCGCCCGUCAAGCCAUGGGAGCCGGGGGUACCUGAAGUACGUAACCGCAAGGAUCGUCCUAGGGUAAAACUGGUGACUGGGGC
rnacentral:rRNA from 1 species